rnacentral:rRNA from 1 species
CCUACGGGGGGCUGCAAUGGGGAAUAUUGGACAAUGGGGGGAACCCUGAUCCAGCCAUGCCGCGUGUGUGAAGAAGGCCCUCGGGUUGUAAAGCACUUUCAGUGAGGAAGAACGCCUGGUGGUUAAUACCCAUCAGGAAAGACAUCACUCACAGAAGAAGCACCGGCUAACUCCGUGCCAGCAGCCGCGGUAAUACGGAGGGUGCGAGCGUUAAUCGGAAUUACUGGGCGUAAAGCGCGCGUAGGUGGCUUGAUAAGCCGGUUGUGAAAGCCCCGGGCUCAACCUGGGAACGGCAUCCGGAACUGUCAAGCUAGAGUGCAGGAGAGGAAGGUAGAAUUCCCGGUGUAGCGGUGAAAUGCGUAGAGAUCGGGAGGAAUACCAGUGGCGAAGGCGGCCUUCUGGACUGACACUGACACUGAGGUGCGAAAGCGUGGGUAGCAAACAGGAUUAGAUACCCCUGUAGUC